rnacentral:rRNA from 1 species
CACGUAAGUUGCGAGCGUUGUUCGGAAUUAUUGGGCGUAAAGGGUAUGUAGGCGGCUGCGAAAGCUUGGCGUGAAAGGCGGGGGCCCAACCCCCGGACUGCGCUGAGAACUGCGCGGCUUGAAUUGCUGAAGGGCAGCCGGAAUUCCAGGUGUAGGGGUGAAAUCUGUAGAUAUCUGGAAGAACACCAAUGGCGAAGGCAGGCUGCUGGCAGACGAUUGACGCUGAGGUACGAAAGUGCGGGGAGCAAAC